CAAAUCCACCACCAUUAACAGAGCACAAUCAGAGUACUAGAGCUCCACACAGAGAGAAGUGCACGUCGCUGUCUCGAAAACACAGGUCUAAUUCUUCCUCCCAUAUGGACAAAUUCAUCAUUUAAAUGUCCCUGUGAUGCAGGCAGGUGAAGACUUGUUUGAAGACAGCAGAGUUGUGCUCAUCUAAUUGCUGAGUGACCGUGUAUGCUCUGUAAAUAGGGGCCAUUCCAUCCUGGAAGACACUACGCCCUUCCUCUAGAAAGGCAGCUUGCAAGUCAUUUGCACAGAGUCAUUAACAUUGACCUGGUCGUCGUAGGGUUUAAGUGCACUAGACUCACCUGUCUAGCACUGAGCCUCCAGGCACUGUACAGACAACAGGGUCCACUCAGGAGUGUACUCGUCCAACCACAGUUUGCCUUUGCUGAUGAUGUCUUUCUCUCAGAGUUCCUCAUACCACCAUGUGCA